rnacentral:rRNA from 1 species
GAUGAACGCUGGCGGCGUGCCUAAUACAUGCAAGUCGAGCGAACAGACGAGGAGCUUGCUCCUCUGACGUUAGCGGCGGACGGGUGAGUAACACGUGGAUAACCUACCUAUAAGAUUGGGAUAACUUCGGGAAACCGGAGCUAAUACCGGAUAAUAUAUUGAACCGCAUGGUUCAAUAGUGAAAGACGGUUUUGCUGUCACUUCUAGAUGGAUCCGCGCCGCAUUAGCUAGUUGUUGAGGUAGCGGCUUACCAAGGCGACGAUGCGUAGCCGACCUGAGAGGGUGAUCGCCCACACUGGAACUGAAACACGGUCCAGACUCCUACGGGAGGCAGCAGUAGCGAAUCUUCCGCAAUGGGCGAAAGCCUGACGGAGCAACGCCGCGUGAGUGAUGAAGGUCUUCGGAUCGUAAAGAUCUGUUAUUAGGGAAGAACAAAUGUGUAAGUAACUAUACACGUCUUGACGGUACCUGAUCAGAAAGCCACGGCUAACUACGUG